AGGGAGAAGCUAUUUUCGGAUGGUGGAAACCGGCGCACGGGUGAGUAACGCGUACACUACCUACCUUAUACUGGGGAAUAGCCUUUGGAAACGGAGAGUAAUACCCCAUAGUCCCCGACCUAGUCGGGGUAAAGCUCCGGCGGUAUGAGAUGGGUGUGCGUCCCAUUAGCUAGUUGGUAGGGUAACGGCCUACCAAGGCGACGAUGGGUAGGGGGCGUGAGAGCGUGAUCCCCCACACGGGUACUGAGACACGGACCCGACUCCUACGGGAGGCAGCAGUAAGGAAUAUUGGACAAUGGGCGAAAGCCUGAUCCAGCCAUCCCGCGUGCAGGAUGACAGCCCUAUGGGUCGUAAACUGCUUUUGCCAGGGAAGAAACCCCCGGAUUUACUCCGGGGCUGACGGUACCUGGCGAAUAAGCACCGGCUAACUCCGUGCCAGCAGCCGCGGUAAUACGGAGGGUGCAAGCGUUAUCCGGAAUCACUGGGUUUAAAGGGUGCGUAGGCGGCGUUAUAAGUCAGAGGUGAAAGCUUGCAGCUUAACUGUAAAAUUGCCUCUGAUACUGUAGUGCUUGAAUCAGGUUGAGGUCAGCGGAAUGUGGCAUGUAGCGGUGAAAUGCAUAGAUAUGCCAUAGAACACCAAUUGCGAAGGCAGCUGGCUGGGCCUGUAUUGACGCUGAGGCACGAAAGCGUGGGUAGCGAACAGGAUUAGAUACCCUGGUAGUCCACGCCCUAAACGAUGCUAACUCGAUAUGUGUCCCUUGCGGAUGCGUGUCUAAGGGAAACCAAUAAGUUAGCCACCUG
rnacentral:rRNA from 1 species